rnacentral:rRNA from 1 species
UACGUAGGGGGCAAGCGUUAUCCGGAUUUACUGGGUGUAAAGGGAGCGUAGGCGGCCAUGUAAGUCAGAAGUGAAAGCCCGGGGCUCAACCCCGGGACUGCUUUUGAGACUGUGUGGCUGGAGUGUCGGAGGGGUAAGUGGAAUUCCUAGUGUAGCGGUGAAAUGCGUAGAUAUUAGGAGGAACACCAGUGGCAAAGGCGGCUUACUGGACGAUCACUGACGCUGAGGCUCGAAAGCGUGGGGAGCAAACAGG